AGUGAGAUGGCUGAGUUAAAGGCAAUAAAUUGUAAAUUUAUGCACGAAUUAAAAUUCUCUCACUAAG
rnacentral:tRNA from 1 species